GCCGUUGUUAUUAGGCGCGGCGAGGCGGGUGGCGCGCGGCAGCAGGGUUGGGCUCUCGCCGUGAGUCGACGAAGGGAGCGCGGGCGCGCGCCCGCGUCCGCGCACUGAGAGUCGCCUCGGCCGCUCGCUUUCUCGACUCCCGCCUCGCGCCUCGAUCCUGUUCCGCCUCCCUCGGCCCUCCUGCCCGCCCCCACUCGUCGGCCCUCAGGUUCCUGGAAAGUGAAAAUUUCAUUUCUUUGUGGACAGCUCAGAGACCUAAUAGGAUGGGGUCUUAGAGAAACAUCUUUUGAGCCACAGACUUCUUUGUUACCAGAAGGAAAAUGAAAGAAGAAAUUUAAAUACCACUUGAAGAGAGGUGAGAACCCUUUGUUAAGCUGUGUAACCUCUGUGCAUAGUUUCCUCAUCAGCAAAGUCAGAAAAAGUAUGUACCUGAAGGACUGAUUGUAAGGCUGGGAUGAGAGAAUCCAUGUGAUCAGCCCUCACCAACAGGUGCUGCCCAGUUCAUGAGUGCUGCUGCUGUCCUGCCCAAGUACCCAGCUUGCAGAGUGCCAGAGUUAGAGUCCCAGGGGUGUUCUCCACAGCUGCAUGCUUGAUCCAGGCCUAUCAGGUGUUAUUUGUUGACGGAACCAGGCAUCAUCAGCAAACAAAACUGACAAAGCUUCCUGCCCUCUGUGGAAGGCAUCUGAGGAAGAGACUGGAUUUUGUAGCAACAUGUUAUUCUCAUUAUAAACUUUAUCAUUGGAAUACUAAAGCCAAAUCAUCCCCCAUCUCCUUGAUCAGGAUACCCACUUAAUCUAGGCAGCUACACAAUUGUGAGAGCCUUUGUUUUUUUCUGCUGAAACAUCCUUAAAAAGAUACCUCACAACCCAAGAUUUGGCUUUUCUUAAAUACGAUUUUUAAUUUUUUUCAUUUCUAUCUAGAGAUUUAAUUGGAAAUGGAAAAUCAUCAAUUUUCCAAUUAAAUGUCUGUUCCAAUCAACAUUAUACCUUUUAGGUUGUCAUUGUCAUUUUUAAGUUUAAGCAACUUUAAGGAUUUUGAAUCUGGCUGCCUGUAAAUUAAAGGUGAAAGUAAUCAUUGUGUUGGAUUGGAACAUUUUGUCAAUUGAGAGUGGUUUCCUUGUUCUUAGUGUAUGAAAAGUUUAUUUUUCUAAUGUAGAUUAAUAAAGGAGAUAAAGAAAAACAAAAUGAGUGAUUUAUGUGUGUGAGAAAAGAACCAUUUCCUCAAGGAUUAAAUAAAAUUCAUACCUUUUGUUUCUUUUGAAAAGUUUUUAAAAUAAAUUUUAAUGAAUGUGUCCUUUAAAUAUUCCUUUAAAAAUGUAUCCUAUUUUAAAAUGGACUCUCUGAGAGAAGGAAUUGAUACCUGUGUUUAAAAUCAAAAAUAGCAUGCAUAGAGACUGUUUUUCUAGUUGGUUGAAGCUUUUUUCCCUCUCCUUUACAUCAGUGAACCAGCAUCUUGCCCUUCAGACCCUACAGCACACUCUUGGGCUCAUGAAGUGUAUGACACAUCCUCCUUGGGGGAUCGGCCAUGUCCUCGCUCUCAUGACCACAUGAAUUCUUCUGUAUGUCUUUUCUCACAGCUGAGUACUCUCUUCCUGACCCCCUUGUGGAAUGGGGAAAGGAGGCUGUGACAUUGUGCUUGUGCAAACAAUAAUUGAGAGCUUUCCGAGUCUCCUGCAUCUUCAUAAAUGAUUUUUUGUUUUAUGCUGGGACAGUAGUUCUUUAAAUAGAAUAUUCUCCCAUGGAAAUCGCCCACAAUGCUGAGAGUACACCUUGCAAAAGGUAAGUCUAGAAUAUAGGGUGCCUCCUCAGCAUUGCCCAGAAGCUGAAGUUAGGACUCUCUAGAAUACCAAAAACAAAUUUAUAGCAGUUCAUUAAUGUAAGGAAUUAUGAAAACUGUGUGCCACCAUUAUCCAUAGAUGAAACAAGAGCCACCACGCAAGCACAGACACAAAGCCCUGAAGAUGAAGCCAUUGACAGGGCUCUCAUUUAUUCUGUAGAAACCCACUUGCCUGUUUUUGAACCAGUUUUCUUUGGAGCAUAUGUCUCACUGUGCAACCAAAGUGGUGUUUAUAUCCUAGUCACUUGGCAAAAAUUCUGUCAUUGCUUCAGGGAGAUCCAUUUUAGGCCUGAAGCAUGGAGCUGGUAAUAGAUGGGAUUUGGUACUUCUGAAGAAAAGACCCUACUGCAAAUUUAGAGAGUUAAUUUUUUCUUUUGUUCCCCAUAAUAUUGUUGCUAGAUAGAACUACCUUUUUUGACUAGAAGUUAAAUAUAGAGGCCUAAAUCAAUUAGGUAACUCCCACUCAUUCUAAAUGAGAACAUGUUUGUUUUUCUCCAACGAGAUGAGAAAUAUUUGAGGCGCUUCCUGAUAUCUCUAUCACCCACUGCAUUUUUUCACUUGAUGUAUAUUUCCCCAUGUAUUUGGGAUAAUUUUCAAAUAAUUGCCCUUUAGAAAUCUACUUGAUAUUAAAUGUAAAAAAAAAGCAAGAUGCAAAAUUAUUAUAGGAUGCAUUUACAGAAAUUACAAAAUUUCUAUAAACUAUUUAUGGAGGAAGACUUAUAGAGUAUAUGUCAACACAUUGCUUUAUUAUUGUCCUUGGUUAUGAGUAUGGUUUUUUUGAAACCUGCUUUGUACUUUGGGUGUUUUCUCACCAUUGGUACAAUUGAGGCAUUUUUCCCUCUUCUUCAACCUUGCAAAUCACACGUGAGGAUGCUCAUAGAAGUGCCUCUCAGACAGGCUGUUGUUUUGCUUUCACCAAUAAAUCAUUUAUAAUUAGAAGUAGAAAACUAUUCUUUCCAGUGCAAAUACAUCCCUUUCAAAAGCAGUUCUCUUUUUGUGAAUGAUGUCUAGUGUCUAAGAAACGAGGGUAACCUUUAUUAUAUGCAUUGCUCUAAUCGAAGCAUUGUUUUUUGCGGUGAACUCAAGGUUACAUGUUUAAGAAAAGCAUCGGGUUAAUUCCAUUAGGAAAAGUGUCUUAUUCAUAAACCUUUAGCCACUGGAAAAACACCAUUAGGAGGCCACACAAGUGUGUAUAGCUGGAUAGAAUUUGACAACUGGCAAAACAAAACAAUAGCCUACAAUUGCAGAGUGCUGUCUGUUUAAAAACCAACAUAUCUUUCACCAACAAAUACAUAUUCACCUCAACACGAGACUUUCAUGUGGUUAUUAAUAUCAAAUUUUUGAAUGUCCAAAUUUUGGAGUGUAGUCUAGCAGAGGUAAACUGAUUUGCCUAAGGUCCUUCAACUGUCAGAGGUAGAAUUAUUUUCUCUCUCCUGGCUCUAAAACCUGUCCAGAUUCUCCUGCAACACUGUCCUUCAAAAACACACUUCCGCUGACUCCAGUGCUGGUGAUGUCAUGCUUUAGCUAGUAGUUAGAGGUGACUUAACUUUAAAUAUGGAAUCUUUUUUUCCUAUUAAGCAAUGAGGUUUAGUUUGAAAAUUCUUAGAGAUGAUAAACCCCUCUCCUUUUUUUCUUCCUUCUCCUCUUUUGUCCUGAACAAUGUUCCAUAUAUAUUACUGCCAGAAACAGAUUCUUGACAUUCCUGUUAUGCUUUUCCACAUCUUGUAAUCAUUUCUACAGCUGUUAGCAUUGCCAACAAUUAUAUUUCCACUUUUAAAAAAUUGUUACAAAGAUGCAGAGAGAAAAGAGGAAAGCCAAGGAAUAAACUACAGGCAAUUAUGGGAUAUUUUUGUGAUGUGACAUUUUGGGAACUGAGGCAGCAUCACUGAUACUGCACUACUUUUUAAUAUCUAGAUUUUAAUCUUUUGUAUGAAGAUAAAAUUCACAUGCCUUAAACCUGACCACAACAUAAUAGGGCAUUUAUUUUUCUAAUUUUGAUACCAUCCACAUUUCUUAACUAUAAGAAGAAUGCUUAUGUUGUACCAGGUUAUAUGAUGUUGCCAAGAAGUAGAUGUGUACCAUUUACUAAUACAUCCUUUUGGAAAAUGCGUAUUAAUAACAUAUUAAGGAGUAAAUUGACGUUGUGCAAAGUGAGCCUGUGAGUUUAAAUGUAUGGAUUGUACACCUUGCUCUUCCUAAUUGCAGAUUUAACAGGAUUUGAUGACCUAAUGAGUUUAUUUCUGAAUGAUUUAUAUUUCUUUGUCAGUUCAAUGAUUUAGUAUUUUAAAUUUUUUUAAAUCACAUUUUAUUGAGAUAAUGCUAUUAGUGUUUCUUUCCCAUCACUUAACAAAGUUAAGUCACUCCUCUCCCACCCCACUUUUGUACCUACCAAUGUUUUUUUCACAGUUACAGGCUGAUUGGCUUGACGUGUCUUAGGAUACCACCCAAAGAGAGCUUCAUUUUAUAAAUACCAAGCUCAUUUUCCUAAAUAUUUUCAAAAAGAUAGAUUUAUCCUCAUAUAGUAAAUUCAGAUUAAUAAUUUUGGAAAGGGUCAUGUGACCAUGGUAUUACAUGGCUGUGGAAGACCCUCCAAGAUCUUGUUUUGGGAUAGAAGGACUCAGACAUCCAAACUUUUAAAUUAAUGAACUUAUUAAAUUCUAAAACUUUGUAACAGUGUUAAUUUGAGAAGUAUAAUAUUUUGCUUAAGGUCUGUUUUGCUUUGCAAAAUGCAUCUCCUUCAUUUUCAUAUUAUGUUGGAAGCUUAGCAUGAAAGAACGUGCCUCAGAGGAAACCAUAGGUAAGCAUACUUUAACAAAAGUUAGUGUCAUCAUGUUUGUGUCUUUGCCUGUGGUUUUUUAAAUGUAUAAUGUUUAACGUUGAUUUGGCUAUCAAAUUACAUUUUCUUUUGUUAAAAAAUUCUGUAAAUUAGAAAUGUACUGAAUCAUUUAUUUAGCAGACUGAAGGUGGGUAAUGUUGGCUGAACAGGUUUAAGCCACAGUAAUUUGAAAAUGUAAAUACAUAAAAUAAUGUCAUUUCUCUUCCACUCAAUGUUUCUUCACCAAAUAAAGUCCAGCCUGCUCUGAAUUUGUUGCCAGUAGGAACAAUGUUACAGUGAAUCAUGGUUUAAUAUACCUUGAAAAUGGCACAUCUGUUCUGUGAUAGCUUACCAAUUUUAGCCUCUUUAUAAAAUACGAAGAGUUUGUCAACCAGAAUAAUCUAGAACCUGGCAAUUCAAAUACCAUUCAAAGCAAAUGUUUUAUCUAAUAACUGGAACUAAAUGUUAGGCCUCAUGACAGUUCAAUAUUUACUAAAUAAGUUUAAUAACAGGGUAAGCCCUCAGUAUCCAGAGCAGAGACAAGCACACCAUAUUUACACAUACAAAUUCUGCCUUUAGCCAUCUGAAAGGGCCCCGAACUAUUGCAGCAAGCAAAGAGUCUUUGCAUUGUCCUAAAAUCCAUACAAUACUUUAUAUUUUACACAUUUUAAUAGCUAGUUUAACAAAUAACAAGUACCAUGCUUAAUUCUCUGCAUGCAUUAUUUCAACUAAUUAUUGGAAUAAUCUUAUAAAGUGGGUACUUUCGUCUCAGCUUACAGGUGAGAAAACAAAAGUUAAAUAGAUCGCCCAGGGCUCUGCUGGAACGUGUUAAGCAGGGAUUUCAGCCUGUCCAGUCAGACCCCAGAAGUUGUGUUCUUAACCAUUAGCAACACAUCAUCCCAGGCAGGCCCUACAUGAGCCUCAUAACCAAUUUUAUGCUGGAUAGUAUUAUCCCUAUUUCACAGAUGGCAAAACUGAGGUCCAGAGACUUUAAGUGACCUACCCAAAAUUACAGUCAUGAGCAGAGGCACUGGAAUGUAGGGCCUUGACACUCUACCUCACGUGGUCCUCUUUCCUGUUUUGGGUAGUUCUCCACUACCACUACUCAUUUCUGAUGCUGGAAAGGCUGUGUUUUAUACAUUUCUGUUUCUGGCUUGGAACGAAACACUCUGGGUCUCUGCUUGAUCAGUGUCCCCUCUAAACUGCACCUCACUACAGUAGGGAUGGCAUAAGAUACUUCUUUACACAGCAUCUUUUUGUUCCCACCUCACCCCCAGAGCUGUAAUAGGUAGAGCCAGCCAAAUGUCAAAGGGAUGAUUUGUCUUGUCACCACUAGUUUCCCUUUUCUCUGCCUUGUAUGUAACAGGAAUAUUCUUUAGUUCCUCCUUAUGUUCUAAAGCACCUCCCCAACCUAAAAAUAGAAGAGGAGUUGUGGGUCAUUUACACUUUAGUGUGAAUUUGCCCUUGUGACUUUGCCAAGGCUGUUGUGCCUAACCCUUUCAAUCUAACAGCAGAAUGAGAGUCUCUGGACUAUCCUGGCUCCUUCCCUGAGAAGAAUGAACUGGGAAUUGUUGGUCUAGACAUCAAGACUACCAGAGACCUAUUGCUCAGAGAUGUUUGGGCUGUACAAUUUCUGUAGAUAUGGCAUCUGGAGCAGCCUUUUCUAAGCAAUGGCAUUAUCAUUCCAGGCUCUCUCGCUCUUUCCAUCUCUCCACCAGGUGGACUCUUGCCCUCCACCCCUUCCAAUUUGUCAGUGAUUCAGAGAACAUUCUCCAUCCUUCCAAUGAUUACAUUCCUUCAUCUUGCUGGGGCGCCAAUUCAGUGAUGGAGCGGCUCUUGGGAGCAGCCUUGGCUUAUAGUGCAGCUCUCUGCUACCUUCAACAGGCUGGUAUUCGGGGUGCUUAGAUGUGACUGGUUGUACGCACGUGUGUGUAUGUGCAUGUGUGUACAGCAGUAAGAGCUUUCGAGGUAGAUACUUGAGGAAGCCUCAGACAUCUAGCCCCAUUACUGGGGCAAUGUCUUACUUGGGUUUUUCCAGAAACAGACCUGGAGACCAGGAUUCAAGUGCCAGUGGUAUAUUUGGGAUGUGAACCCUGCAAUGCUGGUAGGAGAGUGGAGAAGUGAGGCAAGGAAAGGAAGGCCGUCAAGGGGCGUGUUAGGAGGUCAUUCACCACCGCAGGUAGCCCGCUGGGGACCUCUGGGAGCAAGUGUGGCGCACAAGCCUCAGCAUUACUGCCCUGUGCCUUGAGGAGUAAGGGAUAAGGAUUUUCCCCACCAGUUCCCUGUAGUCCUUGGUGAGAGCUUCUGGGGUGGAGGUUAAGGUCUUUAGGUCAGAGAAAUUUUCUUUAGUUUCGGAAAAAUCUUUCAGGCCGAGGUCCAGACACUCACUGGAACACACUGAAGUGGUUAGGUCCAAGGGCUGUAGGCAGAGCUCCCAUAUCCAUCUGCAGAGGUGUUUCAGGUGGAAGGAGUGGAGACAGCCUUCUCUGCUCCACACUGUCUUCAGCAAGGGUUUCUGUAUCUGUGCAUUGAGGAUUAAAUUAUUCACAUGGUCAGAGAAGCCCAUCACCACUGAUAGUUAUUGUAGGUAUGGAAAACUAACGACUAAGAAGGGAGAAAAAUAUACCAAGCAGUUGGCUUGGCUGAACACAAGUAAAGACUCUUACAGUCACUGGUGUGAACUGCUUAUUAUCAAUGUCUGAUUACAGUGCUGCAUACUAAUGAUUAUGCAUGUCAUUAAAUGUGUCAGAUUAACUUUGUUAUAAAAUUUAUGACAACAUUAAAUUUUAUUCACAUGCUCAGCCUUCAUAAUUUAUUGCUUAUGUAGCAUGGUUUUAACUUCAGAAAAACCUCCAAGACAGUGUUGUCUUGAUGACUACACUGCUUAUCCGUGAGUCUAGUUUUCCUGUUCAUUUGAAAUGUUCACAUUACAUUCAGCUCUGUCUCAAGCACUGAGACAGAGCUGGAAUCAGUGCCCAGCGAUUCCACUUGCCGAGUGAUUGA
rnacentral:lncRNA from 1 species